rnacentral:rRNA from 1 species
UACGAAGGGUGCAAGCGUUACUCGGAAUUACUGGGCGUAAAGGGUGCGUAGGCGGUUCGUUAAGUCUGUCGUGAAAUCCCCGGGCUCAACCUGGGAAUGGCGAUGGAUACUGGCGAGCUAGAGUGUGGCAGAGGAUGGUGGAAUUCCCGGUGUAGCGGUGAAAUACGUAGAGAUCGGGAGGAACAUCAGUGGCGAAGGCGGCCAUCUGGGACAACACUGACGCUGAAGCACGAAAGCGUGGGGAGCAAACAGG